GAGCGACAAAGCACUGGCAAGAAGCCUCCCAUGCAGGAUGAAGCCAAGGAAGAAGAGAAGAGAGGAAGGACACGCCCAUUAACUAAAGGACCCAAAACAUAUCUCAAGGAGCUCAUGAAGUCAUCCUCAUGCACACAGUUUCCCAGGUGUCAGAUCUGUUUGAAAUGGUGCUGGCACACAGAGGCCACAGGUGGAAACGGCAUCUUCACCCUGCACCUACACAAAACCUGUUCUACCCCCCACGUGCCCUCUGAGAAGAAGGAAGACCAGUUAAUCAUCCAGAGAGAAAGAAAAUGAAGGUCACUUCCCUGGAGCUCAGGGCCACAAACCUAAGAAGAACAUCAUGUGAGGAUGAAGGCAGAGAGCGGGGUGAUGCAGCUGAAGCCAAGGACACUGAAGACUUCCUGCAAACCCCCAGAAGCUGGGGCAGAGGCCCUCCAGUCUCCAGAAGGAGCCAACCAUGCUGAUACCUUGACCUUGGACUCCUAGCCCCAGAACUAUGAGAAAUAAAUUUCUGUUAUUUAAGUCA